UUUGAAAGAUGCUCGUGUGGAAGUAGAGAAGAUCAUUGGCAGGGGUAGUGGAUUUAUUGCAGUGGAAAUCCCUUUUACUCCUCGUGCAAAGCGUGUUCUAGAACUAUCUCUGGAGGAAGCCCGCCAACUAGGGCAUAAUUACAUUGGCUCCGAACACUUGUUACUUGGAUUGUUGCGCGAAGGUGAAGGUGUGGCUGCCCG
rnacentral:misc_RNA from 1 species